GUUGAACGCUGGCGGCAUGCUUUACACAUGCAAGUCGAACGGCAGCACGGGGGCAACCCUGGUGGCGAGUGGCGAACGGGUGAGUAAUAUAUCGGAACGUACCCGGAAAUGGGGGAUAACGUAGCGAAAGUUACGCUAAUACCGCAUAUGCCCUAAGGGGGAAAGCGGGGGAUUCGCAAGAACCUCGCGUUUUCGGAGCGGCCGAUAUCGGAUUAGCUAGUAGGUGAGGUAAAGGCUCACCUAGGCGACGAUCCGUAGCUGGUCUGAGAGGACGACCAGCCACACUGGAACUGAGACACGGUCCAGACUCCUACGGGAGGCAGCAGUGGGGAAUUUUGGACAAUGGAGGCAACUCUGAUCCAGCCAUGCCGCGUGAAGGAUUAAGGCCCUAUGGGUUGUAAACUUCUUCUAGACGGGACAAAACCCCUUUACGUGUAAAGGUUGAUGGUACUGUCAGAAUAAGCAUCGGCUAACUUCGUGCCAGCAGCCGCGGUAAU
rnacentral:rRNA from 1 species